GAAUGCUCCCAAGAACAACCUUAUUUCUUAUUCGAUUCAAUGUUAGAUUUAUGAUCUCGCAGCUCCUUAAUCACUCUCUUCCAGAAAUCUUGUAGUGGAAUCCGUCUGGGAAUCUGAUGAUCGGCGACCGAACAAUCUUGCCUCCCUUCACCAUUCCCCACCUGCAAUCGAUUCAUUACGAUUAUGUAUAAUGACAUGCAGGAACGUCGCCAGGAGCACCCUGCUGUACUCUGCCCCGGCGCAUUGCUUCAUUCCUGAUCCAAACGGCAUGAAAUGCUUCGCCGCGAAGCUCGGUUCGAUCUCCUGAAAUUCCCAGAAGAACAAUUACGGGGUUCAAGUGAAGUCCGGCUGUGGCAAUCAUUAUCACCCAUCCUUUGGGGAUUGUGUAGCCUGCAGCAGUAGAAUUUUAGUCCAUAUUUGGGGAUUUAAUUCUUUUCAAGCAAUUAGGGGUUGGCGUUUACCGUUUACAGGGAUGUCUUUCAAUGCACGGCGGAAGAAUCCGGGGGCGAUAUUCCCCAGCCUCAGGACUUCAUUGAUGACCUGAAAGAUUUCAGUUGCAUUCAUGAUGGAACUUCGAACAGGAACAUGAGGUUUAUAAUAGUUUCUGAAAACAGGGCACAGCUUUGGGGGCAAUUAAUCAGACCUGAAGUGUGAAUGUCAUUGAUUUGUACUCAUUCCAUGUCAGUUCCGAGUCUGGAUUUUCCCUCUUCUUGAUGAUUCCUUCGUGCUCCGCCUGAUUCGCAAUGAAAAUGCAUACACUAUCAGAUGAAUGCUUGUGUUUGUCUAUAUAUAUAUAUAUGUAUAUGCAGAGAGAGAAAGGGAGCUGAUUUCGCACAAUGAGUUCCUCCAAAACUUUGGGAUGUUCUGCAAGCAGCUUGAAAGCCAGAGCCAGAGUGGUCGAAAUGGAAUCAGAAGUGACAAAUAGCAGCCCGAACAUGAGUUGAACGAUGAAGUCCUCGUUUAAGAAUGAUUCGGUGUUCUUGUCCUUGAUGAUAUGGUCAAGUAGAUCUCCAUGGUGUCUUUCAGAUUCUGCAAGCCUUUUUGUCACCACGUCCCGCAUCAUCGUCCUCACUUUCUUGUGGAUCUGCAUAGACACAGUCCUUCCUUUGUUCCAGGAAUGUUGAUAGGGAACGACAUCAGGCCAUCCACCAAGUCACGGAACAUUUCACUUAUACACAUCGGUGCAUCCCCACUGAAUAUUUGCUUCGCAGCAAAGUCGAUUGCCAUCUGAGAUAUACGGUACCAUACAAUGUUUGGAUGUGAUUUGAAGUUUUGAUCAUCUAAAUAACGACUGAUUCUUGAAAUAUACUUUUGAUUUGAUACAAAUUGAUGGUUAGUUUGAGAGAAUAGUUACAGAGUUCUUGACAAAAAUGACUGAACAAGUAUCGAAUCCUUUUGGUAUUUCAAGUCAACUGAAAGGGAAUGCGAAAGUUACCGUGACAGCUUCACUUUUGACUUCAACAGACGCCUGGCUCGACCAACCGUCAAGAGUUUUCCUAACCAUAGUUUCCAUCUGAGGAAGAAGUUUUGUCCUAAGAGCUUCAACACCAAAGUGAUUCAAAGUCAAGUUUCUUGUGUACUUCCUCGAAGAUUGGCUCGCCUGGUCGAACACCUCAGCAAAGGUGUCCAUAGACCACGUGUCUACCAACUUCCCAUCCUGUCGUAGAAGGAAGUGAUUGAACUCAGGAUCUACGGUAAUGAUCACCGGCCUCCCUGCCACAUUUGUCCGAAAAAUAGGACCAUACCUGAGACAAUAUUGGUAAAAAGGAAUCAAAUGGCGUCACACAAUGUUCAAUGGGCGGGAGGUCAAGAGAGGCGCUCGGGAUGACUAGCUGGAUGGUUUCUCCGAUGAGCGGGAGGCCCAUGGAUCCCGGAGGGAGGACACCAUUGCACUUGGGGUUCCUCCAUCUGUAAAUCCAGUGUGUGGCAUAAAUGGCAGCCAAUGUACCAAUCAAGACAACAACUGACUGCAGAUUAAACUGUAAGUCUUUUAGGACUGAUAAUACUGUUUCCAUUGAGUGUUUUUGGGCACAAUAUAUGUUUAUAUCUCUGUGUGUGUUUUGGUUUUGUGGGAGAGUUUAGAGGUGAAUAUGAGAUAUGAAUAUUUGUGGGGGUGGGGGGUGUAAUUUAUAGAUGAAUGUGGAAAGUGAUUUUAUGAUAUUUACAAUGUGGUUGAUUGGUAAUGUUUUGUUUCACAUUUUGGUUAUUUGGUACAAAUAUGAGUCACACAGUUUGUGGAAAAAGACACAGAAUAGAACUUUGGGUUAUCAUAGUUUGAAUGCACUUUUGGUUUGAAUGUGCCCUUUUUUGUCAUCUCUUUUUGAUAGAUUUUUAUUUGUUAUAUAUGAAUCAUGUGAUGGGAAUGUA